UACGAAGGGGGCUAGCGUUGCUCGGAAUCACUGGGCGUAAAGCGCACGUAGGCGGCUUUCUAAGUCAGGGGUGAAAUCCUGGAGCUCAACUCCAGAACUGCCUUUGAUACUGAAGAUCUUGAGUUCGGGAGAGGUGAGUGGAACUGCGAGUGUAGAGGUGAAAUUCGUAGAUAUUCGCAAGAACACCAGUGGCGAAGGCGGCUCACUGGCCCGAUACUGACGCUGAGGCACGAAAGCGUGGGGAGCAAACGGG
rnacentral:rRNA from 1 species